UAGUUGCCCUCAUUAAGUUGGGCACUCUAAGUUGACUGCCGGUGACAAACCGGAGGAAGGUGGGGAUGACGUCAAAUCAUCAUGCCCCUUAUGAUUUGGGCUACACACGUGCUACAAUGGACAAUACAAAGGGCAGCGAAACCGCGAGGUCAAGCAAAUCCCAUAAAGUUGUUCUCAGUUCGGAUUGUAGUCUGCAACUCGACUACAUGAAGCUGGAAGCGCUAGUAAUCGUAGAUCAGCAUGCUACGGUGAAUACGUUCCCGCGUCUUGUACACACCGCCCGUCACACCACGAGAGUUUGUAACACCCGAAGCCGGUGGAGUAACCUUUUAGGAGCUAGCCGUCGAAGGUGGGACAAAUGAUUGGGGUGAAGUCGUAACAAGGUAGCCGUAUCGGAAGGUGCGGCUGGAUCACCUCCUUU
rnacentral:rRNA from 1 species